GUGAGGAAUAUUGGGCAAUGGGCGAAAGCCUGACCCAGCCACGCCGCGUGAGUGAUGAAGGCCUUCGGGUUGUAAAGCUCUGUGGGGAGGGAAGAAAAAGCGGGAGAGUAACUGCUCUCGUGUUGACGGUACCUCCUUAGCAAGCACCGGCUAACUCUGUGCCAGCAGCCGCGGUAAUACAGAGGGUGCAAACGUUGCUCGGAAUUACUGGGCGUAAAGCGCGUGUAGGCUGACAUGCAAGUCGGGUGUGAAAUCCCAGGGCUCAACCUUGGAACUGCACUCGAAACUGCACGUCUUGAGUACUGGAGAGGGAAGCGGAAUUCCGGGUGUAGAGGUGAAAUUCGUAGAUAUCCGGAGGAACACCAGUGGCGAAGGCGGCUUCCUGAACAGUAACUGACGCUGAGACGCGAAAGCGUGGGGAGCAAAUGGGAUUAGAAACCCGUGUAGUCC
rnacentral:rRNA from 1 species